GUCGCGGUCUCGGGCCCGCCCCGAACGAGGAGGAGCGGAGGCCGCGCCGUCCCGCCCCUUCGUGGUCUCAGCCCUCAUCGCUCCGCUUGGCUGUCCUGGUGCCCCUUGGCUCCAGUUGCCGCUUCUCCGUGCCUCCGCUUUAUUGAUGCCAACUCGCUGAAACAGAGAUGCAGAAAUGGAGGUUCAGAAAGUCAAACAGGAGUUACACGACUGGGAAGUGGCAGAGCCAGAUUUGACCCAGGUGAUGCUUCAGGCUCUGUGCUUACCGUGUCCAUCAUCAUCACCUACUUUAAAAGGCCCAUCCUUUCCUUGCUUGUGGCAAUUCAACAUGUGACUUUUGCUUAUAGCAAAAUUUAAAAAAUGACAAACCUAUAAAUUGUCACAACAUGGAAAUACGGCAGUUUACAUACAUUUCUGUUUGUCACUGUGUUCUCCAUUGAUUGCAGUACUUCAUACAUUCUAUUUUAUAACAAGAGUUACUACUAUGUCAGGUCACAAUUGCAUUCUUUGGCAUUUCCAUAUGGGCAUGAUACCCCAACAUUUUUCUAGAGUCCAUGUAACCUGCAGAUUUGACCAUUUUUAAAAACUGUUAGUAUCAUUUAAAUAGAAUCAAGGAACAACAGAAUUAUUAAUUCCUCUGAAACAGAAAGCUUUACUCAAAGUUAGUAUUUUCCUGAAAUGACUGAAGUCUGCCCUUUAGGAACAAUAUUCAGAGCCUAUUUAAAAGGUGUACAUUUAAAACCAAGCUAUUACAUAAAGUUUAAAACAAAUAUAAAGACACAGGAUGGCUUCUGAACUCAGUUUUUCAGUGACAUGACCUAUCUUGCAGGGUGAUCAUGUGAAAAACGACUACUGAGCAGACAUACAAAGGAUGAAAGUAGAAAACAACACCACAAUAAAAACAAGAUACAAUCGAAGACUAAACCCUGGGGUUAGCCACAUGAGUUCCCUGGUACACCUUGAAUUGCAGAAUGAUUGAAAUUGCCUUAUCUCCUCACUUGUGAAACAGAACAUAAUCACUGUGUUGCAAAGUGUCCCUGACAAAUAGUAGCUGGUGAAUAAAUCUUUAUUCUCAUUCCCAACAAUUUUAACAUAGGAGGAUGGUUUUUAUGUUUUUCUGUAUCAUGAUCGAGUCAUAUGAACAGAAUCAAGUUUAUCUGUUGCUGUCUGGGGACAGUAGUAGUGUUUAUAUGCAAGUUUAUGACAUGUCAAACCACGUAAGGAAGGUUUUUUUUAAAAAGAUGUAAUUUUUCAGUUAAUUUUUUUAAAGAAAAAUUUCUUAAAAUGCUUUCAUUUUGUCAAAAAAGCAUUUGAUGUUGAUAGUGGGGGAGGCUAUGCAAUAUGUAGGAUCAGGAAGUAUAUGGGUAAUUCAUGAAUCUUCUGCUCAAUUUUGUUGUGAACCUAAAACUACCCUGAAAAAGUAUACAGCUUACCUUGCCUUUAGGUUACUUUCCUUACGGGUUACAUAGGUGGGUGGAGAACUUAAGCAAGUCAGUCAAUUUGUUGUUGCUUAGUUUCUGUGUUAUGUCUGACUCUUUGUGACCCCAUAGACUGCAGCAGGCCAGGCUUCCCUGUCUUUCACUGUCUGCUGCGGUUUGCUCAUAUUCAUAUCCAUUGAAUCUGUGAUGUUAUCUAACCAUAGCAUAAGUCAAUAUAUUGAGGCAAAUGGAAACCAGGUUUCUUACUGUCCAGAAAAGGAGUUACAGAUAUGGAAAGAGGGAAGUCUCGAAUGAAUCUGGAUAGUGGUAGACUGAAAUUGAAAACUGGUAUGAACUUAUGGUUUUUGUGUAUGUGUGUGUGUAUUUUGCAUAUGUAUGCAUAAAACUAUAUAUAGAUAUAUAGUCUAGCUUUGUCUACCAAGAGGGCGUGGGAGCAGUGACACCCCAGAGCAAUGAGCAUAUCUAGCACCGUUUUUUAUCGGUGGAGUCAGGGCUGUUUGGAAAAAUGCUGAUCCCAAGGCUGAAGCAAACACACAAGAUGGGUCUGAAAGUAUAGAAGUGGUCAGAGAAUAAUGGGUGGCUUGUCAGUCCAGAGAGAAGCUAAGCUCUGAGAGGCUCCCAAUAGCUAAAUGUGACAAUUUGAGUAAAUCUGUGAUGACAAUAAUGAAUUCUGUCUCACUGAAUAGGAAUCCACAAACCCAUUUUGAUAUGUGAGUAAUAAAGAAGAGGUCUUCCUUAUAGCAAAAUGCCCAUUAAUAAAUAUAUGGUGCUUCCCUGGUGGCUCAGCCAGUAAAGAAUCUGCCUGCAAAGCAGGAGACCUGGGAUCAGUCCCUGGGUUGGGAAGAUCCCCUGGAGAAGGGAUAGGCUAUUACCCACUCCAGUAUUCUUGCCUGGGAAAUCCUAUGGACAGAGGAGCUUGGUGGGCUACAGUCCAUGAGGUCAUAAGAGUUGGACACAACACACACACACACACACACACACACACACAAUACAGGUGUGCAGGAACCAGAAAAUCAGUGUUUGGCGACCAACCAAAGUAAUAAUUCAGAUAAGACAGCUAAGAGCAAAGAGCUCAAGUUGGAUAAAUAGCAAUGUAUUUAUUUAGUCUCAAAAUAUCACCUCUACAAAAUAAUAUAAAGGUAGAUAUUAAUUAUAAAGGGCAAGAGUACUGUGGUGAAGCCUAUCAGAUCAUCCAGUUUACAUCAACAGCAAGGAGACAAACUGACCUUGUAUGCCUCCUGAUAUGAGACACUGAAAAGAACACGGCCUGCAUCACCUCUGAGGUAUUCCUGUCACAGACACUCACUCUGAACCGAAGCAUGUGGAAGCACUGAAUGGAAACUGAAUGACUUUUACAAAACAAUAAAUUAAGGUGUGAAGGUCAAGGAAGAAGGAAUAGUUCUGGAUUGACUGCGACUCAAGAAGCAUAACUAAGAACAAAUCUGAUCUUGGUUCGGAUCCUUUUGUUAUAGAGGAUAUAACUAGACCGCUGGCAAAACCUGAGUGGGUGGGGCUUUUGAGAGUGAAUGGUAUAUGUGAGUGCUCUGUGGUAUUCUUAGGACUCUUUUUUAAGAAUGGAAUUAUUCCAAAAUAAAUAAAAGUAACAACCUUUGUUCAAAAACUUUUAUUUACUAUAAAGACAAAACACCAAAAUAGGUACAAAUACUAUAAAAUUGGUUCAAUGGGGUAAAAAUUUUAAUUAAAAUAUCUUUGAUAUAUUUAAAAUAACAAAGAAUACAUUUAAGCCAAAUUUUCUUAACCCAGAGAUUCUUUUUUUGUAACAUUUGCUUACACAGUAAGGUGCUAAUAGAAGUUAGCCCUUAAGCCCUGGAAGUCUUAGGAAUCAUAGUCAUACAGCAAAUAUAAUUUCAUUGUGAAAGUGAACUUUGGUAGAAGAAAAAUCUAUAGGACACCUGAGGUAGUAGAAACUGGGAUAAACAGCAGUAGACGUUAUUUACAACUUGAGUACCAAAUAACAUUAAGAACACAAAAAUAAUUACACAUUACAAUUUUCAGUCCAGCUUUGAUCCAAAGAAAAUAAGAAUAUUACAUCACAUUUGCAUUGAAAACAAAACAAAAAAAACAAAACACCACAAUUACCAGCAAGCUGAGGGAACUGCAAACAAACUCAAACAAUGGAUUUUGACAUCUAGAGGCAGUUUGAGUUUGAAAUGUGGUGGGCAUGGUGGUCUACAAAGUAAUACUGAUUAGCUGAGGUUCCUCAGUUUAUACAGUUUACAUCUCUGUCAGACACAGUAUUAAUCUGACCAAUGAUCUUCCAGUACAUAAAAUGGCAAGAGUGCAUCCUUUAAAGCUUGCACAUGAGAGACUUGGAAACAAUCUUAUUAGAACUGUGAAAAUUCUAAAGUAGUCAAAAAAAAAAAAAAGGAAACACAACACAUUUAGAGCUACCAAACUUCACAUUUCAGUACUAUUUUUAACUCUUCAAAUAUUGCCAAUCUUCCAACCAAAGGAAUGUAAAAUUUCACUAAGAAACACAUUCAUUUAUAU